GAUCAACGCUGGCGGCGUGCCUCAGACAUGCAAGUCGAACGAUUAAAGCUCUCUUCGGAGAGUGCAUAGAGUGGCGCACGGGUGAGUAACACGUAAGUAAUCUACCUUCGAGUGGGGAAUAACGUCCGGAAACGGACGCUAAUACCGCAUAAUGCAGCGGCAUCGCAAGAUGACAGUUGUUAAAGGAGCAAUUCGCUUGAAGAGGAGCUUGCGGCAGAUUAGCUUGUUGGUAAGGUAACGGCUUACCAAGGCUACGAUCUGUAACCGGUCUAAGAGGACGGUCGGUCACACUGACACUGAAUAACGGGUCAGACUCCUACGGGAGGCAGCAGUCGGGAAUUUUGGGCAAUGGGGCAACCCUGACCCAGCAACGCCGCGUGAAGGAUGAAGUAUUUCGGUAUGUAAACUUCGAAAGAAUAGGAA
rnacentral:rRNA from 1 species